rnacentral:rRNA from 1 species
GACGAACGCUUGCGGCGUGCCUAAGAAAUGCAAGUCGAGCGAGGUCGAGGCUUCGGCCAAAGGCCUAGCGGCGAACGGUCGCGUAACACGUAAGCAACCUGCCCUGAGGUCUGGGAUAGCCCGCCGAAAGGCGGAUUAAUACCGGAUGUGGACGAUGCACCGCAUGGUUGUAUUGUUCAAAGCAGCGAUGCGCUUCAGGAUGGGCUUGCGGCCUAUCAGCUAGUUGGUGAGGGUAACGGCCCACCAAGGCGACGACGGGUAGCUGGUCUGAGAGGAUGGUCAGCCGGACUGGGACUGAGACACGGCCCAGACUCCUACGGGGGGCAGCAAUUAGGAAUCUUGCGCAAUGGGCGAAAGCCUGACGCAGCGACGCCGCGUGACCGAUGAAGUCCUUCGGGAGUGUAAGGUACGUUUGUCAGGGGAAGGAAGGAAGUGUGACGGUACCCGUGCGAAUAAGCCCGGCGUACUACGUGCCAGCAGCCGCGGUAAUCA